UAAUAAUAGACUGGUGGAUACCCUAGUGAUGGGCCUCACUGGGCUAAGCUAGGCUGGUCCAAGGAUGAAAGGCAUAAUUCAUUGCUAGCUUGUACUGUGACUCUUCCCAGCUCAGUAGAACUUGCCAGGGCUUCUCCUUCACUGGCAUAGCUUUGGAGAUGCUGGGGUCACCACCAUACCCCAACAAAGCACAAGAGUAGGACUUGUCCUACACAUUUCAAAUCCUCGAGACAAAGGAAGGAACUAACUGUGAUUGGGAAAACAGGUAAUUCGUGAUUGCCUUCUGACCCAAGUUUGCUGUGUUUGUCAUCAUAUGAAUACACCAACCAAAGGCAUUUCUCACUUUCAAAGUAAAAUGGUGCUACAAGGCUCUGCCUCAUUUUGGACUCUCUUCUCUACUGAUUUGAAAACUGAAGCACCUGAUGACAAUGAACUAAGGCUGUUGGAGCUGCAACUAAGAUGAAAAUUCAGUCAUUCGACAUCAAUAUGUUCCAUGGUAAAGCUCGUUGUUCAAGAUGAUGAAACUGAAGUCCAGAGAGGGAAACAACAUCACACAGGUAAAACGGUAAAUGACAAAGAUGAGGAAACAGAGGCAAAUGAAGUUAAGCGACUUGCUCAAGGUCACACAAGAUUGCAGACUAUAUGGUAUGGAGCACUGAAUAUCAAUGUCAGAUCUGGUUGGUUUUUCUCUCUCUUGGUUUUGCUGAAGCCUUCCUGUCAGUUUUAA
rnacentral:lncRNA from 1 species